GGGUUGUGAGGUGAAGCGACUAAGCGUACACGGUGGAUGCCCUGGCAGUCAGAGGCGAUGAAGGACGUGCUAAUCUGCGAAAAGCGUCGGUAAGGUGAUAUGAACCGUUAUAGCCGGCG
rnacentral:rRNA from 1 species